UACGAAGGGGGCGAGCGUUGUCCGGAAUCAUUGGGCGUAAAGGGUGCGUAGGCGGGUCUUUAAGUCAGGGGUGAAAUCCUGGAGCUCAACUCCAGAACUGCCUUUGAUACUGAGGAUCUUGAGUACGGGAGAGGUGAGUGGAACUGCGAGUGUAGAGGUGAAAUUCGUAGAUAUUCGCAAGAACACCAGUGGCGAAGGCGGCUCACUGGCCCGUAACUGACGCUGAGGCACGAAAGCGUGGGGAGCAAACAGG
rnacentral:rRNA from 1 species